UGGGGAAUAUUGCACAAUGGGCGCAAGCCUGAUGCAGCCAUGCCGCGUGUAUGAAGAAGGCCUUCGGGUUGUAAAGUACUUUCAGUCGGGAGGAAGGUGGUAAGGUUAAUAACCUUAUCAAUUGACGUUACCGACAGAAGAAGCACCGGCUAACUCCGUGCCAGCAGCCGCGGUAAUACGGAGGGUGCAAGCGUUAAUCGGAAUUACUGGGCGUAAAGCGCACGCAGGCGGUUGAUUGAGUCAGAUGUGAAAUCCCCGGGCUUAACCCGGGAAUUGCAUCUGAUACUGGUCAGCUAGAGUCUUGUAGGGGGGGGUAGAAUUCCAUGUGUAGCGGUGAAAUGCGUAGAGAUGUGGAGGAAUACCGGUGGCGCAGGCGGCCCCCUGGACAAAGACUGACGCUCAGGUGCGAAAGCGUGGGGAGCAAACAGG
rnacentral:rRNA from 1 species